UGGGGAAUAUUGCACAAUGGGCGCAAGCCUGAUGCAGCCAUGCCGCGUGUAUGAAGAAGGCCUUCGGGUUGUAAAGUACUUUCAGCGGGGAGGAAGGCGAUGGGGUUAAUAACCGCGUCGAUUGACGUUACCCGCAGAAGAAGCACCGGCUAACUCCGUGCCAGCAGCCGCGGUAAUACGGAAGGUGCAAGCGUUAAUCGGAAUUACUGGGCGUAAAGCGCACGCAGGCGGUCUGUUAAGUCAGAUGUGAAAUCCCCGGGCUUAACCUGGGAACUGCAUUCGAAACUGGCAGACUAGAGUCUUGUAGAGGGGGGUAGAAUUCCAGGUGUAGCGGUGAAAUGCGUAGAGAUCUGGAGGAAUACCGGUGGCGAAGGCGGCCCCCUGGACAAAGACUGACGCUCAGGUGCGAAAGCGUGGGGAGCAAACAGGAUUAGAUACCCUGGUAGUCCACGCCGUAAACGAUGUCGACUUGGAGGCUGUUUCCUUGAGAAGUGGCUUCCGGAGCUAACGCGUUAAGUCGACCGCCUGGGGAGUACGGCCGCAAGGUUAAAACUCAAAUGAAUUGACGGGGGCCCGCACAAGCGGUGGAGCAUGUGGUUUAAUUCGAUGC
rnacentral:rRNA from 1 species